CCUGCUAUUCAGAAGAAUCUUGUAUAUGUUAUACCUGAAAAGCUAUUAAUACCUUCUAUUUAGUCAGUCUAGUUUUUUGGUCAUGCUUCUGGUAUCACAUACAUAUUCUUCUUUUGUCUAAGUCCACUGUGAAUUCGCAAUCUGCCUUUGUGUUAUUAGGUGUAUAUCCUGCAAUGAACAAGUAUAUCCUUGCUCAAGAAUUAGUGAAAGGGCUGUGCAGUCCUAAUUUUAUUUACAGUAUAGAGAUACGAUACUUCCAGGGUGCCGAUCAAAACUACCCUGCUUCUAAGUCAUGCUUUAUUACUCUUCCAGAUCCGGCCCUUGCUGUUCUUAAAAAAAUAAAGAUACAUUCAACAAACAUGCCGUAUCCUACGUCAGCUGGUCAUUUCUUAUUGUUUUUUUCUUAUGAUAGAAAUCACACACAAUCCUUCGAAAUUUCUAAGCUGCCAGUCAGAUCAGCAAAGUUCAUAGCACGCUGGCAGUGGGUUUUGUACUCCAGAUUUUUGAGGGCCAUUCUCAUUAUGUGAUCCAAGUAACAAUCAACACUAAAGAUACCGACCCUUUUGCAAGUGCGUCGCUUGAUGGUACUAUAAACUAUAAAGGAAGCUUUAGGAAUGCUUAUGGUAUAUACGAGCCUAACAUGUUAUAACGGAUGCUUACCCCCCUGUCUGUCCCAUUCCAGAUUUGGAAUCUUGGCUCACCUGAAUCUAAUUUCACACUCGUUGACCAUCACAAAGGAUUGAAUUGUGUUGAUUAUCAAACAGGUGGUGAUAAAACUUAUCUAAUUACUGGGUUAGAUGAUCACACUGCUUAGGUUUGUGCUUAUAAUUAUUAUGAUGAUUCCAUUCA